rnacentral:misc_RNA from 1 species
GCAAACUUGGUCAUUUAGAGGAAGUAAAAGUCGUAACAAGGUCUCCGUUGGUGAACCAGCGGAGGGAUCAUUACCGAGUUUACAAACUCCCAAACCCAUGUGAACCUUACCUAUCGUUGCUUCGGCGGAUACGCCCCGGCGCUCUCGCGACCGGAACCAGGCGCCCGCCGGGGGAAACAAACUCUUGUCUUAGCGAGUGAAUAUUCUGAGUGGCGAAAGCAAAAAAUACGUUAAAACUUUCAACAACGGAUCUCUUGGCUCUGGCAUCGAUGAAGAACGCAGC